AGACCCGAAACCCGGUGAUCUAGCCAUGGGCAGGUUGAAGGUUGGGUAACACUAACUGGAGGACCGAACCGACUAAUGUUGAAAAAUUAGCGGAUGACCUGUGGCUGGGGGUGAAAGGCCAAUCAAACCGGGAGAUAGCUGGUUCUCCCCGAAAGCUAUUUAGGUAGCGCCUCGUGAAUUCAUCUCCGGGGGUAGAGCACUGUUUCGGCCAGGGGGCCAUCCCGGCUUACCAACCCGAUGCAAACUGCGAAUACCGGAGAAUGUUAUCACGGGAGACACACGGCGGGUGCUAACGUCCGUCGUGAAGAGGGAAACAACCCAGACCGCCAGCUAAGGUCCCAAAGUCAUGGUUAAGUGGGAAACGAUGUGGGAAGGCCCAGACAGCCAGGAUGUUGGCUUAGAAGCAGCCAUCAUUUAAAGAAAGCGUAAUAGCUCACUGGUCGAGUCGGCCUGCGCGGAAGAUGUAACGGGGCUAAACCAUGCACCGAAGCUGCGGCAGCGAACGUAUCACUUAAAGCGAUUCAGCGGAUGACGAUUGACGGAGCGAAGCGACGUCAAAGCGUUUUACAACGUCGAGUCGGUUUAAGGAUACGUUCGUUGGGUAGGGGAGCGUUCUGUAAGCCUGCGAAGGUGGCCUGUGAGGGUUGCUGGAGGUAUCAGAAGUGCGAAUGCUGACAUAAGUAACGAUAAUGCGGGUGAAAAACCCGCACGCCGGAAGACCAAGGGUUCCUGUCCAACGUUAAUCGGGGCAGGGUGAGUCGACCCCUAAGGCGAGGCCGA
rnacentral:rRNA from 2 species